rnacentral:rRNA from 1 species
UAGGGAAUCUUCGGCAAUGGGGGGAACCCUGACCGAGCAACGCCGCGUGAGUGAAGAAGGUUUUCGGAUCGUAAAGCUCUGUUGUUAAGGAAGAACGAGUGUGAGAAUGGAAAGUUCAUGCUGUGACGGUACUUAACCAGAAAGGGACGGCUAACUGCGUGCCAGCAGCCGCGGUAAUACGUAGGUCCCGAGCGUUGUCCGGAUUUAUUGGGCGUAAAGCGAGCGCAGGCGGUUAGAAAAGUCUGAAGUGAAAGGCAGUGGCUCAACCAUUGUAGGCUUUGGAAACUGUUUAACUUGAGUGCAGAAGGGGAGAGUGGAAUUCCAUGUGUAGCGGUGAAAUGCGUAGAUAUAUGGAGGAACACCGGUGGCGAAAGCGGCUCUCUGGUCUGUAACUGACGCUGAGGCUCGAAAGCGUGGGGAGCGAACAGG